GUUUAAAUGCAUGUAUUACUGUCUUACUUGACUACUGUUUGAUUUUGGAAAUCUAAGAUAUGAUUGCAUUAUUAGAUGCACGUUACUUGUUUAUAUAUUUAUGUUGAUUUGGUGAUGGAGACUAAGUACAAAUAGGAAUGGGAUAUGAUCUCAUAAAUGGAUAAGAUGACAGUCUCACUAGAUAUCCUAGGAGAUGGUGGACGGAUCGGGUUCAUAGGGAACCCUACCGUGAACGUUGUCUCAUACCGGACGGGGUAUGCAAACUUGAUCAUUUGACACUCAUACCGGACGGGGUAUGGGGGCGGCCCGCUUCACCCUCAUACCGAACGGAGUAUUGAUGUUUAAUGUCUUUGCACUUAUAUCGAACGGGGUAUGGGAACGACCAUGGAAUUAAGAUUGUUAAGAAAAAUAGUUCAUGUGUAACGAGAACACCCUUAUGGAUCCCCAUGGAUACUAGUAGACUAGUAAAACGAGAAGUGUUGAUGAUCAAUUAUUGUUAAUGAAUACGAAUUCAUGAUAUGUUCUAUGUUACUGAUUAUGCAUGAAAUUGUUAUCCAUAUGAUAUUAUUGCUUUUAUAAAUUGUUUCCAUAAAUUCCACAAUAGUAAGUGAACGGUAAAUGAUUUCAUUUAUGAUAAACGAAUCUAUUUGAAUCUACUUCUCCAUUGGUUGUUUUGAUUUU
rnacentral:lncRNA from 1 species